rnacentral:rRNA from 1 species
CCUACGGGAGGCAGCAGUGAGGAAUAUUGGUCAAUGGACGAGAGUCUGAACCAGCCAAGUAGCGUGAAGGAUGACUGCCCUAUGGGUUGUAAACUUCUUUUAUAUGGGAAUAAAACGUUCCACGUGUGGGAUUAUGUCUGUACCAUAUGAAUAAGGAUCGGCUAACUCCGUGCCAGCAGCCGCGGUAAUACGGAGGAUUCGUGCGUUACCCGGAUUUAUUGGGUUUAAAGGGAGCGUAGGUGGAUUGUUAAGUCAGUUGUGAAAGUUUGCGACGCAACAGUAAAAUUGGAGUUGGAACUGGCAGUGUUGAGUACAGUAGAGGUGGGCGGAAUUCGUGGUGUAGCGGUGAAAUGCU